GAUGAACGCUGGCGGCGUGCCUAACACAUGCAAGUCGAACGGAGAUUACGGACGGAAGUUUUCGGAUGGAAGACUGUAAUUCUUAGUGGCGGACGGGUGAGUAACGCGUGGGCAACCUGCCCUAUACAGGGGGGUAGCAGCUGGAAACGGCUGGUAAGACCGCAUAAGUCGGCGAGACCGCAUGGUUUUGCCGGGAAAUGAGCAAUCAGGUAUAGGAUGGGCCCGCGUCCGAUUAGCCAGUUGGCAGGGUAAAAGCCUACCAAAGCAACGAUCGGUAGCCGGACUGAGAGGUCGGACGGCCACAUUGGGACUGAGACACGGCCCAAACUCCUACGGGAGGCAGCAGUGGGGGAUAUUGCACAAUGGAGGAAACUCUGAUGCAGCGACGCCGCGUGAGUGAAGAAGUAUUUCGGUAUGUAAAGCUCUAUCAGCAGGGAAGAUGAUGACGGUACCUGACUAAGAAGCCCCGGCUAACUACGUG
rnacentral:rRNA from 1 species